GGGCCAUUAGCUCAACUGGUAGAGCAACUGACUCUUAAUCAGGAGGUUGGGGGUUCGACUCCCUCAUGGCCCACCA
rnacentral:tRNA from 1 species